rnacentral:tRNA from 1 species
GCCAGGAUAGCUCAGGGGUAGAGCAACUCAUUGGUAAUGAGUAGGUCGUGGGUUCAAGUCCCACUCCUGGCU